rnacentral:tRNA from 1 species
GAUCCCGUAGCUCAAUUGGAUAGAGCGUCGGCCUGCGGAGCCGGAGGUUGGUGGUUCGAGCCCACUCGGGAUCG